GUCAUGAUUAGAGUGAUCAAUUGACUAAUUUUAUUUGAAGUGAAUCAAAUUAAGUCAUUAUUCGUAAUAACUAAAUUGAUAAAACUAAAAUUAAAGAUGAAUUGAUAAGUUCACUUACAAUUUCAAUUAAUCUCAUAGUAAUUACAUGAUCAACUAUGUGUAUUCGUCUCGAGGAGAGUGAUUGUAGACACCUAAUUUUGUCCCUCUCUGAUAUCACUUUUACUCAUUUUUACCUUAUCUUAUCGUGUACCUCUCAACCAUAAAAUUAUCACUCCAUAAAAUGACAAAAAAUAACAACCUUUAACAAAUUGUACAUUUAUUUUAAUCAUAUCCUAACAACCUCAUCAAUUAAAAACAGACACCUAGCUACCCUACCCCACGUCACCACUACCCCUCACAUUAUAUUCAUUUUUCUUAACCAACUCACGAAAAGAACAAAAAAGAGAGGGCCCACACACUAUAUCAAAAGAUACCCAUUUAUUUAAUCAUCUUCUUCCAUUCUGAAAAGGGGAGAGAGAACAGAUAUACACAUAUAUGACCCUCACUAACAAAUUCACUAGAAUAUGUUCACACCAGAGAAGCGGCUUCUUAUCCACAAUACACUGAAUCACACUUUCAACGCCCAACGCACACACACCCGAGAGAAACAUAAUGAGACAAGGGAGAGAAAACUGACGCGAAAGAGAGAAACGGGGGUGGUUUAGGUAGAUUUUCCGGUGAUACAGCGGUAGAACCAUCGCCGGAGAUCAACCGGAAAACAUCCCCGAGCUUUGCCUGUUACUGCUUUGUUGGAAACCCAUUAAAAACCAAUUAAAAUCCCACCAAAUCCCUCUUGGUCGCUGUUCAGAGUUCGUGUUGAAGUUGGCCGACGCUGACGGGAGAGAAUCUUCCUUGAUUUUGGUCUAAGUUGACGAACAACAGAGAAAAGGGUAUAACGAGCUCGGGUUUGUUGAUAGAGGUUGGGAUUGAGGAUUUCGGAUGCGGAUUCUAACGGGUUAAUCGAAAUAAUAGAUCGAUUUUUGAAAGCACUGAGGUCCAAUUCUAUCUCCUCUCUUUUUAAUUUUUACGUAAUCGUGAAUGAUUUGUGUAUUGGUAUGUUUGAAUCUUGAUUGAGUAUUGGUUGAUGUUGGAUUUAAAUGUGGAAAAGGGAAUUGAUAAUCAAUGCAUGUGUUGAUCAUUGGUUGAGAAUGAAUUUGGGGUAGAAUUGAAAAAUUGAUAAAAAGGGUGAAUAUAGAUCGAUUUAGAUUUAUUGUUGUUUUGUUUAAUUCGGAAUAAAUAUCAUGUUUUGGAAUGAGGAUCGGUAAGUAAAUCGUAGGUUUUGGAUAGGCAAAGUUUAGGAAUCUUGGUGAUUUGUUGAAUGUGUGAAUAUUUGGUGGUUGGUUCUUUCUAUUUUACCGUACAAGAUUGAGAAAUGUAUUCAUUUUAUCAGGGAAUGCUCUGAGAUCUUAUGUACUUCUUCACCGGGGAAUGCCCCGAGGUAUCUUGUACUUGGAGGACGUUCAUGAUAAAGGCCCAAGGCGUCGGGUAGAGCAUUAGUCUAGAUUAGUUUAGAAUAUGAUUUAUAUUUCCGCAUUUCUUCUAUUUUGGGUUGUAAUAAUUGGAUUGAACACUAAGUUUUGGAUUGUUUUAUUUUGUUUGAUUGAUUGAUCGUUUUAUAUGUUUUUGUGGGAUUUAUACAUUAGUAGUGUCAAAUUAUGAUAUUUAAUUGAAAAGUGAAAAUUAGUUUUAAAAAUAAUUUUAGAAAAAAAAUAUGUAAAAUAUUGAGAGUAAGGUCCACUUACUUCUAUUAUGUCAAAAUUAACGUAUCAUUACUAUUUAUUAAGAUACUCAUUUGCAAUUUUUAAUAGAGCUGAUGCAAUGAACUAAAUUGUAAAAAGAUCGAAAGAUAUAGAUGAUAGCCAUAUAGAUUUCUUCUCGUAGUUUGAUCAAACCCGAAAGAAGACGGUGAGUUUAAAUUUUAAAUAUUGCUUCUACGUGUGAUAUAGGGGAAAUAUCCUCUAAACCUAAGUAUUUUUCAAUGGCCUAUAAGCAGUAGCAAACAAAAAAAGAAAGUUAAAAAUAUCCAUAAUUAAAAAGUGCAAUAGCAAACCUAAGAUUAAAUGGAAACAAUGGAGCAGAUCUUAGAACUUUAAAGUGCACUCACUCUAACAACAUUUCUUUUAUAAAAUGGAUCGAUGAGGAAAUAAAUGUGAUUUAAGCUCUUAGCGGUAGACCGUCAUUAAAUUUUAGCUACGAGGCUUACGCAAAGAGUAACCACACUCCUUUUAUUGAGUAGAAAAAUAAAACGAUUUACUUUGAUAAGAAUUAUCAUUAUAGUUUUAGGAAAGAGAAUGCUAUUGUACAAGCUAAGGAAAUUUAUUAAAUCAUAUAUUUAGUUACAAAUUUAAUAACUACUUCCUCUAAUAAGGGUGGUAAAACACAAGGAAACGAGGUUCAACUAAUUCAACAAGACUCAAUAGAUCUAAGAGGAAUAUACGAAGUAUCAAAACAAUUUAGAGCGAUUGGAGGAAGAAGACAAUGUGAAGAAUCAAAUUUUUCUCGAGCUACAUUUUCUUGAAGAUUUCACAUUUUAAAGAAACAUGGAUCUAACUCUAGAUUCUUCUUGAAGAUUUCACAUUUUAAAAGAAACAUAGUCUAACUCUAUAUUCUUACUUAUUUUAAUUUUUCACUACUAAAGUAUUAUCAUUACAGUACCAUCAUAGAAUUUGUUAUAAACUUUGUGAUGAUCGAGAAUAUUUAGUUCUUUCUUCUACUUAUUCUUUUACUUGUAAGUUAAUUAGAAGAGAUUUUGUAACUCCUUUCUUGUACUUCUUCUUUUGAGUUUUGCUUUUAUUAAUUAUAAAAAAUUAGCCCUAGGUAGUUCGCCUAGUGGAUUUGCUCAAAAAAAUUAUACUCCCUUUGUUUAUUACUUGAAAUUUACUUGUCUAAUUUAUGAAAUCAAGAGAAUUUUAUGUAUGUAUGUAUGUAUAUAUAUAUAUAUAUUUACGCUAGUAUUAAAUAAUGCCAUAAAUUAGUACUCUCUCGUUUACUUUUAUGUGUUCUUGCAAAAAUAAAUUUUCAUUUUUAGAUGUCACUUUUAACAUAUCAAGAAAAGAUAAUUAUUUCUUUUUCAUGUUUUAUCGUUAGCAUUAGUUACUUAUUUUUCAGAUCAUUUUUUAAAAUCUAAUACUAACUACUAAACAUCAAUCAACAAUGAUAAUAUAAUAAAAUAAUCAUAUCAAACAUUAUUAUUUUAAUAGGAUCAAUUAUUAUAUCAAACAUUAUUAUUUUAAUAGGAUCAAUUAUUAUAAAAGAGAUGACGUCUUUCAAAUUAUUUUUGGAAAAAGUAUAAGAAUAUUCAUCUUUAUAUAUAAAUUCCAAUGAUCUUAUAAGGUUAAUCAAAGCCAUGAGUAGAAUCCUUGGUUUAACGCUUGCGAGUUUGAGGUACUCUUGAUUUAAAUCCUUCCAAUAAUUUUCUACCAUUUUCCUUCUUUCCGUGUAUGCCUUUUCCUUUGUGACAAAAUAUUCAUCAAUAUAACAUUCUACAACAGAAGCUACAUCUCCUCUAUCUUAUUCAUCUUGCAUUCACAAUAUAAAUAAACAAAUUAAAUAAAAGAUAAAAAUUAAUUACUUCUUAUAUAUGUUAAAUAGUAUCACAUCAUACAUAUCCAAAACCUUGAAUACUAAACGCAUAAUAAUUUUUGUCCAAUUUAUUGUUAUAUAAAAGGGAAAAUCAAAUAUUUUUACACUUGUAUUUAAGGAUAAGGUCGUUCAAAUAAGUACAAUUUUUUUGUAAAUGUAUUUACACUAUCGUGAAUGUCUAUAUAUAAAUAAGAUCUAUCAAGAUUUAGUUGAUAUUUAUUAGGAUUUGAAGUAUCUGCAUUUUAGUCAGAAACUAGGAGUAAAUUUCUCCUACAAAUAGAAGACUUUCUUUAUUGUAAAUCAUCCUCAAGGAUCCCAAGAGAAUACCUCAAGAUAAAUAAUAAUUACUCUCUCUUUUCUCUCUCUACUCUUGUUCUUUAUUCUUUAUUAUUUCAUAACACGUUAUCAGCACGAGACUCUGCCAAACAAGGUGAUAUUAUAAAUCUAAAGAUAAUUUAAAGGUUAGUAAUUCCUUAUGUUAUUUGUAUUUUGCUACUAAUGAUAUAAUUAUUGUUGGAUUUGAGGAAAAAUAAUUGGUUUGGAAUCACUUAUGCUUUAAACUUGUUCAUGAAGAACAAUAUUGUUAAAAGAUAUGAUGAUGAAUUUAAGUCUCAUCUUAUUAAGAGGGUAAGACAUUGGGUUAAAAGUUUUAAUACAUCAUGAUGAUAAGAUGUUGGGUUCAAGUCCCAUCGGGUUAUUAUCUAAGACGCCUUUAUAUGGAUAAGACAUUGAGUUUGAAUCUUAAUGCACCAUAUUGAUGAUAUAAUGAUGACUAAGGUAAAUUAAUAUAUUUUUGGUGAAAGACAUGAAAUUUGUCCUAUCAAUAUGCUCCAUUCCCUGAAGUGAAUAUGGUAGCAAUGCAUAAUAUGUUUGAAAGAUGAUAAUUUACUACAUUCUUGAAGUGAAUGCGGUAGCAAUAUAUGAUAUACUCUGAAAUAUAUGUUAAGAGAAAAAUUCUCUACAUUGUAUGUAUCUCGAUGUGCUACUAAAAUAACAAUAUCAUGAAAGAGGUUAUAAGCUAUCAGAAUUUGAUAGGCUUAAGGCACGAUUAUAUUUCAUUCAUGUGGAAUGAGAAGCUUAUUAAUGCAAACGUGCACUUGAUUGUGAUGGUAUCAAAAUUUACCUCUGAAAGAGGCAAGAUAACUGGGAAGAGUUAUUUUAAAAUCUACUUCUAAAGUAGUAAAUCUGAAAUUUAUUCAUGUAAUAGUAAAUCUGAAAUUUACUAAAGAAAAAAGUACUUGUCAUGAUAAACUUGGAGUUUACUAGAAUAAAAGUUCAUAAAUUGUUAUGAAUGAUUGUGACAUCUCGAAGAUGUGCAUAUUGGGUAUUAGGCAUGUAUUGAAGAACUAGAAGAUUCUUCAAAAAUUGUUUAUGUUGCUUGUUCUUAUGAUAAGUUGGUUGGACCAACUAAUAUUGGGAUUAGAUCCCUUAAAAUCUGAAAAGUGUAAAAGGUAAAUAAGGAUCCAUUCACCUAUCAUGUGAUAUGCUGAAAAGAUGUAUCAAUAAGCUGAUCACAUGUACAUUCAUUGUCAACCUGCGUUUGAUAUUCAUAAAGUUGAUUCGUCAAUAAAAUUGAGUUAAGAGCAUAAUUUUUAGAUUGUGUAAUCAAGAUAAUUCAUUUUGAUGAUGAUGGUUUGGCAUUGAAUGCCUUUGAUAAAUAGCUAAACUAUUGCUAAUGAGAAUAAAACUUCAUGUGUUGGUCCGAAUUAUGAUAUGUUGCAUAAAAUAGCACUUGUAUGCAUUAGACCAAUAAAUUAUGAUUAUUUUUUUCCUCUCAAUUGAUUCAAGGUCAGGAACCAACUAUUCCAUCUAAUAGUUUUGAGAUAUACGAUUAAUGAGUAUACCAUCAUGCAAAAAGAUGGGUUCCUCAAAGAAGAUGAAGGAUGUAUGUUAGUUUUCCUAACAAAAGGGGAGAUUAUAAGCAGCUAUGAAAUAUCUUAGGAAUUAUCAUCAGAUCCUUAUUCAAAAGACAAUUCAAGUCAAAUGCCGAAAACAUCUCAUAUUAAGCUCCAGUUGCUCCUAUUUUGUGUCCCUAAAGGACAAAGCUAUGCAUGUCUGAAACAUGGUAGGCCAAUCAGUUCCAAAUAAUAUAAUACUUGAAAAAAAUAUGGAUCAAAUAAUUAGAAUAAGAAUACAAUGUUAUCUUGAAGAGCCUAUGACAUAACACUUCAUGAAACAUUAUGAGAGGUUCAGGUACCUAAAAAUAAUGAAGUGAUAUCUAAAAAUGUUAUGUCACACUGUGAACCAAUACAAAAUGAUAUAUCAUCAAUAUCUUUGAUACAUUAUUGACGCAAUAUUGUGAAAGAUUACGAGAAUCUGAAUUCUACAUUUAUUUAAACGUGCUGACGUAGAAAAAAUUAUCAAGUGACCUGAAAGGAUGGAUUUUAGUAAGCUCCAACCUUAUUUGAUUUGCAGUCCAGACACUUGAAGAUGUCACACAUGACAUGUUGGACAUUUUCACUUGACAAUAAUCCAUAUGAAAAUCCCUAAAGGAUUCAAAAUGCCUAAAACAUAUAAAGUUUCUGGAAAACUUGUUUAUUAUCCUUAUAAGGGAUAAAUUGAUGGUCUGAAUAUUGUUUUAACUCUCAGAGAGUUUUCAAAAUCAAUAGAUUAUUUACUCAAAUGAGAAAUAUGAAGUAUCAUAUCUUAGUUCCAUUGAUUCACAACACUAAUGUAUCUUGCAAAUACUACAAAAACUGAUAUAGCCUUUUCAGUCAAUUUGUUAGCAAGGUAUAUUUCUGCUCCUACUAGGAGACAUCAAAAUAGGAUAAAAGAAAUAAGCUUAUUUUAUUCUAAAGUCUGAAGUCCCAAUUUUAUUGAUUAUGCUGAUGCUGGGUACUUAUCUGACCCGCAUAAAGUUCAAUCUCAAACAGGCUAUCUUUUCAUAUAUGUGGUACUGCCAUAUCUUGGAGAUAUAAAAGCAGUCUAUUGUAUCCACUUCAUCGAAUUAUGCUGAGAUAACAGCUAUUCAUGAAGAGAGUUGAGUGAGUAUGAUUGAGGUCCAUGAUACAUCUCAUUCGAGAAAAAUGUGAUUUGAAAUGUGACAAUGAACCUACAAUUUUAUACAGAGAUAAUGCAGUAUGCAUAGAAUAUCUUAAUGGAGUAUUCAUAAAAAGAGAUAGAACGAAUAACACUUCAUCAAAGCUUUUCUACAUAAAUGACCUACAAAAGAAUGGUGAUAUUAACGUGCAACAGAUUCAUUCAAGUAACAAUGUGACCAAUUUAUUCACCAAGUCUCCUCCAAUUGCAACUUUCAAGAAGAUAGUGCACAAUAUUAGGAUGCAAAGGUUCAAAGAUGUUCUCAUUUGAGGGAGUUAAUACGCGUUUUACUCUUUUUCCCUUAUGAGGUUUUGUUCCACUGAGUUUUCCUUAUAAGGUUUUUAAUGAGGCAACCUAUAUGCAUAUUGUUAUAGAUGUGUACUCUUUUUUCUUCACAGUGCCAAAGAGAUUAACAGUCAACAACAGGUAACAAUUCCUAGAAAGUCCAUAUAGUAAUUUAAAAAAUGAUUAGAGCAUCUAGUGCCUUCGAACUUUGAUGAAAUCUGCUAGGACAUAUUCCAACUUCAUAGGGGUUCUAUUACCCUCUAAACUAAAUUUUAGCAUAUUUUUGUCUAACUUUUUAGUUGAUGUGGUACCUUUUGUUAGUCUUUUUAGUUGAUGUGGAAUCUUUGAUGUGAGUUUUAUUUUAUAUAAUAAAGGUGUCACAUCAUUAAAAGUAGUGAUAAAAAUGCAUUAAAAUUGAGUUCAGAAGGGUAAUAGGAUACUGUAAAAUUGAAAUGUGUCAUAGAAACUUUAAAAACUACUGGAAUAUGGGUCUUUGUCCCUUCCUAUGUGGAUAAAUAAAGUCCAAUUUAGACCAACCCACUUUUUUCCAUAGGCCCAUUACUAUGGGGCAUAUAUAUAUAUAUAUAUAUAUCUUUCCUUUUUUGGUCUAUUCAUUAUCACAAAAAAGAGUUUUAGCAGCCAUAAAAAAGAGCAAGAGUGUAGAUUUUUGCCCAAAUUUUUAGCCACAGCUGUCUACUUCAAAUUGAGAUUCCUCCUUCAUUUCUUAUUCGUUUGAGAUGAUUUUUGGAAAGCUUGUUCCUAUCAUAUCAAUAUUUGAUUAGAAACUAAUGGAGGUAGAUUUGGUGGCCUGUACCUCCUGUUCUUCAUUUUCAAACAGUAGCUGCAUUUUUUGUGCUUGUGCUCCUUUUUAUUCUCUAGUUUUGUGCUAUCUUGUUGUGUUAUUGCUCGUUGUUUGGCACUUGUUUUGGGUUCAAUUUUGGAGAAUAAUACUUUAAUUCUUGGUGAUUAUAGUUAAAUUUUGGUCCCAUGGUUUUUACUCUUCACACCGAAGGAUUUUUCAUGUAAAUUUGAUGUCUUGUGUGAUUUGUUUUAUUCUUAUCUUAUUUUAUUUGUGUGGUUAAUAUAUUUUUAUACAUAUUAUCAUUGCUAUUCUUGGAUUUUAUUUGUUUCCUCUUGGUUCAAGUUGAAGGAAAAAGUUUAGACUUGGGUAUUUUCCGCUGCUACCCUAUCGGGCACUUUGAAUGCGCCCUUGCCUCUUUCCCAAUAAAGUGGUAUCAGAGCAUUGGUUGCUAUUAAUUGUUGAUUUGAUCGAUGGAGACAAAUAUUAGAAAGAUAGUAUGUUUGAAUAGUAGUAACUAUCAUACUUGGAAAGGCAAGAUGAAAGAUCUUCUCUUUGUCAAGAAAAUACAUUUGCAUAUGUUUGUGUCUACUAAACCUCAAUCCAUGAUAGAUGAGGAUUGAGAAUUUGAGCAAUUAUAGUUUUAUUUCUAUAUUAGAAAAUGGGUUGAAGAUAAUAUUCGAAACCAUAUUGUAAAUGAGACACAUGCCAAAAGUUUGUGGGAAAAACUCGAGACACUUUAUGCUUCGAAGACUGGAAAUAACACGUUGUUACUACUUAAUCAAUUGAUGAAUAUUAGGUAUAAAGAGGGAAGUCCUAUUUUUGAUCUGAUAAAUUCUCAGGGUGUUCUUGACCAGCUGUUCGAAAUGGGCAUAUAGUUCAAUGAAGAAAUUCAGGGACUUUGGCUUUUUAAUACUCUGCCUGACUCUUGGAAAACUCUUCAAGUUUCUUUGACUAAUUUUGAUCUCGAUGGUGUUGUGACUAUGGAAUAUGUUAAGAGUGGUGUCUUGAAUAAAGAUAUGAAAAGAAGAUCUCAAGUCUCAUCUUCUUCAUCUUUAUACUUUGAUAUUUUGGUUACUGGCAAGAGGGAGAGAAAUAAAUCUAGAGGCCCAAAUGAUAGAGAUAAAAGUAGAAGCAAGUCGAGGUCCAAAUUCAAGAAUGUUACAUAUGACUAUUGCAAUAAAAAGGGGCAUAUCAUUAAAUAUUAUUACUAGCAUAAGAGAGAUAUGAGGCGAUAAAAGAAUGAAGGUGAUAAUGAAAAUUGUGUUGCAGUUGUUGCUAAUGAUGAUCUUCUUAUUGCUUGUGGUGAGAAUGCCAUUAAUCUUGUUCAUGAUGAGUCUAGCUAGUUUGUGGAUUCUGGUGCUAUUUCUCAUGUUACGCCAAAGAAGGAAUUAUUCUCUUCUUAUACUUCAAGUAAUUUUGGGAUGUUGAAUAUGGGUAAUAAUGAUGAAGUUAAAGUACUUGGCAUUGGCACUGUUUAUUUGGAAAGUAACAAUGGUUCCAAAAUAGUUCUCAAUAAUGUUAAGCAUGCUCCAGAUGCUUGCUUGAAUUUAAUUUUUAUAGGAAACGUUGAUGAUGAGGGUUACUUUAAAACCCUUAGUGCUGGCCAGUGAAAUCUUACUAAAGGUUUCCAAUGAUUGUGGAUCGAGGUGACAAGUUUUCUAACUUGUACGUAUUUUAAGGCUCUACUUAUAGAGGCUUGAUAAACUUGGUGGAGAAUUAUAUUUCAUUAGAGUUAAGGCAUAGAAGGGUGAGUCAUAUGAGUGAGAAGGGGAUGAAUAGUUUGCUAAGAAAAAUUUUCUUUCUAGAGUGAAACAAGAAAAGUUGAAAAAGUGUAUUCAGUACUUAGUCGGUAAACAAAAAAAAGUUUCUUUUCAGAGUCAUCCGCCUUCAAAAAAGCAUGAUUUGCUGGAGUUGGUGCAUUUUGAUUUGAAAUACAUCUAUUUAGAUCAAGUUCUUGAUGUAUUCAAGGGUUUUUAGGCCUUGGUUGAGAGACAGAUAGGGAAGAAAUUGAAAUGCAUCUAUUUAGAUAAUGGUGGUGAGUACAUUGGUCCUUUUGAUAGAUAUUCAGGAUAUUCAACAUCAUAAAACUCCUUCAAAAACUCCUCAGUCGAAUGGUUUAGUGGAGAGGAUGAACAGAACUCUAGUUGAGAGGGUUAUAUGUAUGCUUUCAGAUACUAAGCUGCCAAAUUUCUUUUAGGCAGAAACACUUAAUACUACUGCUUAUGUUAUCAAUUUAUCUCCUACUAUUACUUUAAAUGGUGAUUUCCCUGACAGAGUUUGGUCUGGUAAGAAUGUUUCUUAUGAUCAUUUUAGAGUCUUUGGGUGUAAAUCUUUUGUGCAUGUUCCUAAAGACGAGAGGUCAAAGUUGGAUGUUAAAUCUAGGCAGUGUAUAUUUAUUUGUUAUGGUUAAGAUGAAUUUGGUUAUCCUUUGUAUGAUCCAGUUGAUAAGAAACUUGUUAGAAUCUAUGAUGUUGUGUUUUUUGAAGACCAAACAGUUGAAGAUUUUGACAAGGCUGAGAAGGUUCAUUCUCAGAGUAGUGAGAGCCUAGUUGAUGUUGAUCCAGUUCUUUUGACUAUUGCUCUUGAAGAAAAUCUUCAUGAUGAUGAAAAUUAAGUUGAUAAUGAAGAUGAUGAUCAUGUUCACAAUGACCAGCAAGAUAUUUUUGAUGGAACCAGUUGUUGAUGUUCCAGAGAGUUCUCUUAGAUGAUCUACUAGAAAGAGAGUACCUUUAUCUCAUUAUUCCCCCAGUGAGUAUGUACUCUUGACUGAUGGGGGAUAACCUGAGAGUCUUGAUGGUUUUAUGUUAUGGAAGAUGAAAUUAAAUCUUUACAUGAUAAUCAUACCUUUGAUUUGGUUAAGCUGCCUAAAGACAGAAAAGCUUUGAAAAACUAGUGGGUUUUUUAGGUGAAGCAAGAAGAUGUAUUCCACGGUACAAGUCUAGAUUGGUUGUGAAGGGAUUUAACUAGAAAAAGAGAGUUGAUUUUUAUGAGAUAUUCUCUUCAAUUGAGAAGAUGUCAUCCAUUCGUGUGGUUCUAGGCUUAGCUGCAAGUCUAGAUUUAGAGGUUGAGCAAAUGGAUAUUGAAAUUGGUUUUCUCCAUGGUACUUAGAUGAAGAAAUUUAUAUGGAGAAACCUGAAGGUUUUGAAAUGAAGGAAAAAGAGAAUUAUGUUUGCAAAUUGAAGAAGAUCAUGUAUAGUUUGAAACAAGUUCCUAGGCAGUGGUAUAGGAACCUUGGUUCCUUUAUGAGUCAGCAGGGCUUUACGAAGACUACUUUAGAACAUUGGGUUUUUGUGCAAAAAUUCUCUGAUGGUGAAUUUAUUAUUAUGUUGCUUUAUGUUGAUGACAUGCUUGUUGUUGCUAAUAAUACUUGCAAGAUUCAGAAGUAAAAGUAAGAGUUGAGUAAGUCUUUUUCAAUGAAAGACAUAGGACUAGCAAAGCAGAUUGUACGUGAUAGAAAGGCCAAAAAGUUGUGGUUAUAACAAGAGAUGUACAUUCAGAAAGUACUUCAACGGCUUAACAUGGAUAAGGCUAACGUUGUCAGUACACCUUUAGCUAUGCACUUCAAAUUAAGCACAGAGCAGUAUCCUUACAGUGAUGAUGAGAAGGAAGAUAUGAAAAAAUUUCCUUAUGAUUCAGUCGUUGGUAGUUUUAUGUUUGUAAUGGUUUGGAAAAGACCGGAUAUUGCUCAUGCUGUUUGUGUUGUCAGCCAUUUUCUUUCUAAUCCCGGAAGAGAACAUUGGAAUACUGUGAAGUGGACUAUGAGAUAUCUUUGGGGCUCUCCUAGUCUGAGUUUGUGUUUUGGUAUAUGAAAGCCGAUUUUUUUGUGGUUAUACUGAUUCAGAUAUGACUGGUGAUGUUGAUACUCGCAAGUUUACUUUAGGGUAUUUGGUUACUUUUAGAGAGGGAGCUGUAUUUGGUUACUUUUGCAGAGGAAGCUGUGUAUUGGCAAUCUGGGUUGAAAAAAUGUGUUGCACUUUCUACUACAGAAGCUGAGCUCAUUGUUGCUAUUGAAACUUGUAAAAAAUUGCUUUGGAUGAGAAGAUUCUUAGGGGAACUUGGUUGUGCACAAGAGAGGUAUGUGCUUCAUUGCGAUAGUCAAAGUGCUAUACAUAUUGGGAAGAAUUCUACAUUUCAUGGUCGGUCUAAACACAUUGAUGUGAGAUUCAUUGGAUUCGGGAUGUGUUGGAUUGUAAGUUGCUUGAACUUGAAAAGAUUCAUACACAUUAUAAUGGUUCCGACAUGAUGACUAAAUCUUUUCCAAUAGGAAAUUUUGAAGAUUAUUGCAUGAUCUUCGGGGUGGCGGUCCCCUCCACAUAGUCAGAAGGGAGAGAAUAGUUGGGAUAUGGGUCUUUGUCUCUUCCUAUGUAGAUAAAUAAAACUUAAUUGAGACCAACCCACUUUUAUCCAUAGGCCCAUUACUAUGGGUCAUAUAUAUAGAUGCUUUUUAGGUCUUAUUCACUAUCAUAAAAGAGAGUUUUACAAGCCACAAAAGAGAGAAAGAGAGCAGAUUUUUGCCCAAAUUUUCAGCCACAACUGUUAAAUUCAAAUUAUGAUUUCCGCUUCUUGUCCAAUUGAGCUAAUUUUUGGACAACUUGUUCCUCUAAUCUCAAUAUUUGAUUAGGAAUUGAUGGAGAUGGAUUUGGUGGCUUGUAUCUCCUGUUCUUUAUUACCGAACAGUAAUUGCAUUUUAGGUAUUUGUGCUCCUUUUUAUUCUCUAGUUUUGGUUCUAUCUUGUUGUGUUGUUGUUCAUUUUUUGGAACAUGUUUUGUGGAAAAUUUUGGAGAGAAAUAUUGUAGCUCUUGAUUAUUAUAGUAAAAAUUUGGUCUCAUGGUUUUUAUUCUUCACGCCAAAGGAUUUUCCACAUAAAUUUGGUGUCUCGUGUGAUUGCCUUUAUUCUUAUCCUAUCGUAUUUGUAUGGUUGAUAUAUUUGCUGCCUAUUAUCAUUGUUUUGCUUGGGUUUGUUUGUUUCCUCUUGGUUCAAGUUAAAGGUAAAAGUUUAGACCUGAGUAUUUUCCGUUGCUACCCUAUUGGACAUUUUGAUUGUGCCCUGCCUCUUUCCCAAUAACAACUAGAUGCUUAUCUCUUAAACAAUAGAUAAAAGUUAUAAACAGUCCUCUAAUGUUCGUAUUAUUUUAUUUUGACUUCUCAAACAAUCUUUUUUCUUAUUAAAAAUUUCAAUCCUAACAAAUGCAUACCGAUUAAACACUUCUAACAAUCAGAUAAAAAAUAAAAUAAUUGUGGGAUAUACGUGGAUAGGUGACAGGUUGAAUAAAUGGAGACAUUUGCCAUUUAGGUUCAAAAUAAGUACAAAAAAUAAACUUCCAAGUAUUUCAUAAAAUGUUGAAAUGCUAAAUAUCGCCCUAGUUUUUGUAUAACUAAACCAUUUUAUUCAAUCUCCAUUCUUCGGACAAUUUCGUCGUCCUAAAAGUGAAAGUAAAUGGUCCACCUACCCCUGCCCGCACCAAUUCAAAAUUCACGGGGAGCUUGUUCAGCCCAACUGCUCUCCCCUUACGCAUCCUAUCCUAGAAUAGCACUCUCAACCUCCUCAAUCUUUAUACAUCUAGAAUAUUCAAAUCAUUAUGCUUCUCUGGGUGCUCCAAGACCCCAAGCAACAUGUGUUUAUUUCCUUCUUUGUUCAAGGGUCUAUGAAAGUAUGACUGUCAGCACCGUGGGGGAAAAUUCAUAGCCUAGAAAUGAGGCAUUUUCUAAGAUUGGAGUGUCUAAUAGCAUGAAUGGUCAGUUAAAACAUCGUAAAAAGUGUACGAGUAACUUUAGAAAGAAGCCACUGUACAAACAUAAAAUUUAUUGGAUCAAAUUCUUAUUAAAAUUGAAUUUGAUCCAUAUUUUAUUAGAUCUAAAAGUAUUUUGGGAUUGAAAAAAUAAUAAGUCCAUUUUAUUCUUCAUCAAGGUCCAUCUCACUUUGAAGCCUAAACUCAUCAAGUGAUGUGUUAUCCCAGUCAAAUCCAAGACCAGUGAGACGCCGCCACAUGUACAAAUGAUGUGGAAAUCUCAUUCAAAUUCAAGAACCAGUCAAAAGGCACCAAGUGUCAAAGUGACACAUUUCGACAAAUCACAAGCAACUAGGCCUACUCUGUACAACUAUAAAUAAGGGGUGACAUAAAUUCUAAUGGGGGGGGGGGGGGCGAGGAUUCGAAAAAGAGGACUUUGACAAGCAUUGACAAUGUCAGCAUUGACUAUAAAGUUCUUGUAAAAAAGCAAUCAAUAGAGUUCUUCCCAGAAUUUAUACCAAAGUUAGAAAACAAUUUCCGAUAUUUCUGACGAAUGAAAUACAUCUCUAGGAGUCUAAAUCAUCCAUUGAUUCGAUAAACACUCUACUGAAGGACCUCAGAUCAUUUCUAAACUUAGGAGAUAAGAAUCAAGAGAACAACAAAAUUGUACUCACAAGACUCAUUUAAAUAAAAUUAUUCUUUUUGUUUAUUUUAUUUUUGGUUGCAGUUAAUUUUUAGUACCAUAAAAAUUUAUUGUGAACAAAUUUUGACACGCCCAGUAGGACAAGUUCUGUUCUCUAUCUCUUCCUUCUACAAAUUAAAAAAAACACAAAUUUAACUACUAUAAUGAACUUCAAAAAAAUCAAUGAAAUUUUGUGCAAGAAGUCUACUACUGCCACGUCUACUGAGUUCAAACUUUUUGGCCCCAUCAAUCGACGCAUAUCAACGCUUGUGCUUUGGAUGGUUCCUAAUACUUUACCUUUUUGGAGAUGACGAAAAGGAGAAAAUCUCAAAUUUCUAAUGUAACUACAGCACCUGGGGGCAACUUUGCAUCUAUGUUAUUAGAUGAAUUGUCUGCAACUUUGAAGAAUUUGAGGACUUAACGAAUUCUUCAACUUCAACGAAACUCAGCACCCUCAUGGUUGAUGUCGUUGACACGAAUGAGAAGUUGAUGGAGUAAACCAUUGAAGCCUUAAAGAAGUCUGCUGAUAAUAAAGAUCAUCAAAUCACUCGACUUAUGAGAAAGUUUGAUCUCUACAAUCCUGGAGAGUUAAAUUAUAAUCUAGCAUCAUAAGAAAAGGUUGAUGGUAAAUCUCAUAUCAAGCCAAGUGAAAAUCAACGCGUUGAUCAAUCUUCUUUAGUGUCCACUCUAACAGUUCAACAACUGCAAGAUAUAAUUAAAAACACCAUCAAGACACAAUAUGGCAGUCCGUCACAAAGUUUCAUAGGCUACUCAAAGCCGUACUCUAGAUGAAUUUAGGGCUUACCAAUGCCAGUUAGAUAUCAACCGCCAAAGUUUCAACAAUUUGAUGGAAAGGGAAAUCUAAGGCAACACAUCGCUCAUUUAGUUGAGACUUGUAGAACUGCUGGUACAUAUGGUGAUCUAUUUCUCAAGUAGUUUGUUCGCUCUUUGAAAGGCAACAUUUUUUAUUGGUACACGAACUUGGAGUCUGAAUUAAUUGAUUAUUGGGAGCAACUAGAAAGUCAGUUCCUAAAUUGUUUUUACAAUACCCGUCGUACGGUCAACAUGAUGGAGUGGACAAACAAAAGACAAAGUAAAGAUAAGCCGGCACUGGACUACAUAAAUCGCUGGCAAACAUUGAUCUUUGAUUGAAAUGAUCAACUUUUUGAAACUUUCGUGGUUGAAGUUUGUAUUCAGGGGAUGCAUUAGGGCCUUGUGUAUAUCCUCCAAGGAAUUAACCCUCAAACUUUUGAAAAAUGAGCUAUGUGGGCUCAUGAAAUAGAGCUAAGCAUUGCAAAUCAUAGAAUGACAUCACCUAUUUUUGAUCAUAGGGCAGCAGUCAUGAAAUUCAAAAAUUUGUCAGAAGACCAAAUUGGGGAAUCUAUGCCAACAACUGUGAGUUUUAUGAAGAGCUCCACAAGACAAAAAGUUAAAAGAGGAAGCUCUAAAGCAACAAAUUUGAGAGGUUUAAAAUCAACCAACCUUGAAGGAGUUACAAGCAAGGGUAUAUCCUUUCCCCGACUCUGAUGUUCCGGGAUUCUUGAUGAGUUUCUAGUCAAAGAAGUCAUUGAACUCCUUAAGUCAAAGCGACCUGCAGAAUCAAAUACCUGCAGAAUCAAACAAAGUUAAUGAUCCUAAGUACUAUAAAUUUAACUGCAUUGUUAGUCAUCACACCACAAAAUACUUCAGUCUAAAUGUAAGACCCCAAAAAAUUCUAAGCUUAACUUAGCCCUUAGAUCUUGAUAAGGGGUCGCGUACUUAGAAAUUUCAGCUAAGUGUUUAUACUUAGGAUUAUUUUUAGCCUCAUAAGUUGACGAUCCUUUUUUCUGACCUUGAAGACCUUAAAGUGUCUAUUUUUAGGUUGAUUCAUGAUUGGGAAAGUCAAUAGUUCACCUCGGGUGAGUUUUAGAAUUUUUGGAUUAGAGUAAGGGCGUGUUUGGAAUUAGAAAUAGUGGCUCGAGGCGAUGAGCCCAUGGUUCGUUGCCUAGAUCAGUGCUCUAGAGUUCACGGUGCCUUGCCUUGAGCGGCGCUCCAGAGCCCGCGGUGCCCUGGCUAGUCCGGCCUGUGUAUUUUCUUGCAGUUUUGUUUUGCGCUUUCAAGGUCAAAUGGAUCAUUUUUCCCUUCAUCCAAUAGCUCCAUAACAUAUGAUUAAAGCACCAAAUAGCAAAAUUUCUCAUUCUUUUCACAAAAUCCUCUCAAGAACAAGUCAUAGCUUCAUCAAGUUCAAGAAUCAAGCCUCAAUAACUCACCCCAAUCUCUACAAAAUUUACAAUUAAGGUAGUGUUCAUCUAAGGUUUUCCUUCCACCCUUGGAGUUCAAGAACCCUUUUGAAACUACAAGAUUAGUGAUUUUAUGAUUUACAUAUUUGAAUUUAAUUAUAUUCAUGUAUGUAUUGAUGUUUGUUGUUCAAUUCAACAUUGAAUUGCUAGUUUCAUGAAUGUAAAGUAGCAUGUGUGUGAUGGGUGUAAUUUCCAUGUCAAGAACCCUUGAAUUGUGAAUUGAUUGUUGUAGUCAUGAUAACUUAGCAUGUUGUUCAUGCCCAAAUAUAAGGUUAUGCCUCCUAUGUGUUUGUCAAAAAGCCUCAGUGAAUAAAUUGUGCAUGGUGAACCAUGGGUGAUCUAAAGGAUGAAUUCAUGCUAGAACUACAGGUUUAAAAUUACUCUCAUGUCAAAUCUAUGCCUUGUUAGUGUUUGAUGGAAUGUCCAUGUGAUGGGAAUACUUCGAUUAUGAUAUGUUAGCAUGUUUUUCCAUUCAUGUACAAUGUCCAAAUAUUUGUCAAAAUGCCUUAGUGAAUGCAUUAAGGACAAUUGAUUAUCAUUAUGUUUUCAAGAAUUUUCAUAUCUCAUUAUUAUUGAUGCAAUCGAAUCCUGGGGGUAUUUAUUACCCAAAAUCUAGCUGUUUACCUAGAAUUACAGUAACUACAAAAUAGACUUAGUAUUGUCACGAUAACUAGAGCCUAGUCAGUUACAGAACUUAGUAAACUCAGUCAAGCUCAAUCAAUCAACAUGAUCAGUGUUAGUUCAGUUAAGCCUAGUAUAGUUUAGAAAUUAGUUUAAGGUCUAUUCAUUUAGGAGUAGGAAUCAACACCGAGCGAACCAGGGAUGGGGGCAUUCCUUCCAACAUAGGGUUUGACCCUUAGUAUUAAUCCAUAUGUUAUAGAACUACGUAGAGAGUGUAGGUUGAGAUAUCUUCCUGCCAGACUAGGGUUGAUACAUCUCACAUGAGUUUUCAUUCUAGUGAGUGUUAACGAAAGUGCUUCCUGUCAGAGAGGGUUAAUUCACAACUUAUCUUUACCCAUGGCACAAUAUUGACACCCUUCCCACUGGGUUACAGGUUAGACCCCUAUCCAAUUAGAUAGGGGCAUGUCAAUUCGAUAACUACCUCCCACAAUUUUAGUUUCAGUCUGUAUAUAGAACUCAGUUCAGUUCUACAGAUUCAGGACUGUCAGACACAGCCACCCAGCUCAGUAUAGAACUUAAUUCCAUUCUAUAGAAUUAGGACUGUCAAAAAUAAACACUCAGUUAUCAGUACUAUAGUAUCAGUAAACUCAGAUAUCAGUUAAUCAGUGUUCAAAAUUUAGUAUCCAGUGUUAACAUGACCUCAGUUAAAGUUUAUAUAUUCAUGCAUGUACUCUCAUUUGGUUACGUCUAUGUUUCUUAGCCAGUUAUUAUUUAUGCAUAUGAACCCAUGCAUAUCAGAAUUCUUCCCCAAAAUGCUCUUUGAUGCACGAGCCUAAAUUACAAGUCAAGAUGCUUCUCAAUACAUGAGGCUAAACUACAAGUCAAAAUGCUCCUUGAUGCACAAACUUAAAACUGCAAUUCAAAAUGCUCCUCGAUGCACAAGCCUAAACUGUAAGUAAAAAUGAUCCUUGAUGCACGAGCCUUAACUGCAAGUCAAAAAAUCUUAUUGAUGCAUGAGUUUAAACUGCAAGUCAAAAAUGCUUCUCAACACACGAGCCUAAACUGUAAGUCAAAAAUGCUCCUCAACACGCGAGCCUAAACUACAACGCAAAACUCUCUUUAAGGCACGAGCCUAAAUUGCAUGUCACUCCUGGCCUGCAUGAUUCUGAACUAUGAACAGCUUGCUAAAAGAAGAAGAAGAAGAAGAAGAAAGAAAAAUAAAAAAUAAAAAAAGAAACUUUUAAAAAAGUGAAUUAACUCAUCAUUCCUGAACUACGUUAUGACUUAAUCCUCCCGAGGUACGUAGGCAGCUUAGAGUAUUUUUACUCUAAGUUCAGUCAUAUGAGUUAAAAGAAUAAAAAAGGAGGAAAAAUGUGUGUCAUUAUUUGAGCACGACAAUAAAACUUUGAAUUGACAUAGAUAUUACAUGAGGAUAGAUGUUCCUUUACUAAUUUUACUGCAGUCGUGCAAAGGUGAAGAGACCAGCAAGGCAAAGAGAAUUUCGAUAAUAUAUUUAUAUAAAUUCGUAAAGGUGUUCACCAUUAUUUUUACAUAUGUGGUAGAUCUUAGAGACUUCUCCGCAGCAAAAAAGACGACUCAUGAUUUAAAGGCUCCUACGACAAGGUAUGAAUUUUCUAUCAUAGCCGCUCAAAGUUGGAAAAUAGGCCAACUGAUUCAGAACUAAGCUAACUUUGAUGAUGUAUAUAUAUAAAUUCGUAAGGGAGUUGCAUGUGGUUUUUAUUUUUGGAGUUCUAUGAAUCUAAUUUCCAACCAAAAAAUGACACCUGAUUCUGAUACUCAUACGUCGAGAUACAUAAUUUAUCAUGACGCUGUGCAAAGCUGAUAAAACUAAAACCAAGAUUAGAAGAUCGGUUUUGGGGCAAUAUCUAGGAUGAGUUGGGUGCAAUAUGAUUGUAAUUCUCACUUGAGAUAUGACUCUACGAGUCUAGUUUUCAAUGCAAGAAAUGAUACGUAAUUUUGAUACUCCUACGUCAAAAUACAGAAUUUGUUGUGAUGCUGCACAAAGCUGAUAAUUAGAAAAAACCAAGAUUAGAAGAUAGGUUUUGGGCAAUAUCUUGGAAGAUUUGAGUUUAAUAUGAUUGUUAGUCUUGAGUGAGAUAUAGAUCUACAAGUUUAGUUUCCAACACAAAAAAUGGCUCCUGAUAUUGAUACUCCUACGUCAAAAUAUGAAAUUUAUCGUGAUGCUAUGCAAAGCUGAAAAAACAAAUGUAUCAGGACAUUGAGUUCUAUUUUUAUGAAUCAAACAACUCAUAUUUUUGUUCUCCCAAUGGAGAAUAAAUAUUUUUGUAGACAUGUUCCUAGUGCUUGCUCACUAAAGUCAGAAAAGGCUACUCCCUGUAUCAAUAUUAUCAAUCUGGAUGGCACCACAUACGUGCUCCUUGACAAGAAUGGGAUGCUAUCACUUGAAGACUCUUUAUCUCUGAGCCUCAUAGAUGAGAUGCAUCGCAUGUUUGCUUUGCAAGGAUGGAUUGCAGACACUUAGAACUUUAUCAUCAUAAGGACACAAGAAUAACACCAAGUACAUGCUCACUGAAACUAAAAAGGAAACUUUUAGCAUUGUCAAGAAUGAAAUUAGAUCAUUCCAGGUUACUUUCUUAUCAAGCAGUAAGGAAGUAAUGCACCAAAUGAUUCAACAUCAAUAAUGUCAACUUUUUUUGGUCUGACAUCAAGACCAUUUAUAUAAACCUGCACAAAAAAUAAAGAUGUAACACAUCUACAAUGUUCAAUGGAUGAAGCUCCUCAGUUCUAUGCGGAUCAAUGCAAACUAUGUGAAAAUUCAAUCUGGCAGUAUGUGUUGGCACCAAAGGCACGAUGCUUUGAUUUGGCAUGAUCAACAUUAAGAGAAACAUAUCAUUUUAGUUCAACAUGGAUCAUAUCAAUGUCUAUUAGCAUGAAAUUAUAUUUUCAACUAUUGAUCUUCUAUGUCGAGAUGCAAGGAGUUUUCUAUUCCAAGACGUAAGAAAAUAGGCAUAAAUUUUCUAUCCAAGGAUAGAAAAGAGUUGCUCCGAGUGUCCAUUUCCAAGUCGUGAGAGGGAAUAUUGCUCACCAAAUCCUCAAGAAAAUGGGUGAAGCACAUAUGUUUCUCAUUGAAAACUGGGACUCAAAAAAAUGAUGCCUCAAGUGGUUCCUGACCAAUCAUCAGGACAAUAUUUGUAUAUGCUUGGUCUGAUAUCGACACCACUUGGGAUUUUUCAUGAACAUACAAAAAGAAAUGCAAAGAGAAGUAAUCACGAACAUGCUAUAUCUGGAGUCACGACAUAACAACUUAUAGAGUCAACUUCAAAAAUUGAUUUCCGUCAGUAUAAAAGGAGUUUGACAUUGAUUUUUAGAUAUGGUGCAGCAAUUCAAGUCUAGUCUCUUCAAAACUAAGCCGCUCUACAUUUGGACAUUCUUACAGUCAGAUAUGAUUUUUACUCUGUAAGUGUUUGAAGUUGAAAAUCAGGAAAGACACUUCAUGUACUUUUUUAUCGAUGUUUCGAAGAGAUUAUAUACUUUGUGUGGCAUACACUAAUGCUGCCAAAAGGGUUGAUGUGCACCAGCAAAUUAUUUUUAAAUACAUGGUCACAAAGAGGCCAAAGGAUGUCUUUCCAAAGGUUACAGAUUUCAAAAGAUUGUGGUUGAUAUGAUUUCAUAACAUCUCCUUAUAUAGCGGCUCAUAUUAACAAUUUUCAGUUCAUGUACAAGGAAUAUUGUUAUGAAAUUAGAAGACUAGAAUCCCUGAGAAUUUCAAAUUGCCAAUUAGUUGAAAAAUUACCAUAUUGAGGAGAUUUCUUUGGAGGUGACUUUAAUUAUUUUUUGAAAUCAAAAGGAAAGUAAAUGUUUUUUUUCUUUGGUACAUGAAACAAAAAGGGAAGAUGAUAUUUUUCUUUGGUACAUGAAACCAAAAGGAAAGUUAAUAUUUUCCUUUGGUACAAAAAAAGUCACGUCAAAUUUUUUACUUAAUCCGUUCAAUACGUCAAGUGAAGGGGUUGUAUUGAUCUUUUUAAUUCAAAUAAAAUGAGAGGGUCACAUUGUUGUGCAAGUAAAAAUUACUUAAAUAAAUAUUAAGGCAGUGAUUUCUCAUGUUCAUACUUGUCCAAGAAGAGUAAAAAAAUAAAGUUGGUCAUUUUUUAUACUCUUGAAAUAAUAUCGAGUUUGUACUCGAUUGUGGGCGAAAAAUGAGAAUCACUGUAAGACCCCACAAAAUUCUAAGCUUAACUCAGCCCCGUAAAGCUUAAUAAGGGAUUGCAGACUUAGGAAAAUUUUUGCUAUGUAUUCAAACUUAGAGUUAUUUUAGCCUUUAUAAGUUGACAAUCUUAUUUCACGAUCCAUACUACCUUUAAAUGUGUAUUUUUGGGUUGAUCGUGUCCCCGGACAAGUUUCAGGUCUUUUGAACAUCGUUUGAGGCACGUUUGGAGGUCCAAACUAGUGGAUCAAUGUAAUCUCAACACGCCUCAUCACCUUUCGAGUUGAUAAAUGUUAUCCCCAGUGCCCAUUUUUAAUUUUUAGUGAGAUACGUCGUCCAUUAUGUCAACCCCAUCGACCCAAUGCGUCGAUUUGCGCAUCACUAAGUCAAUUUUCAGUCAUUAAGAUUCCGCAUCCUUAGGGGUGAUUGGGUUUUUUUCCCAUGACUAUUCAGCCCUAAAAAUACAAAAUUCAUCCCUCCCUAAGAAAAUUACACUCAUUCUCUGUAAAAUUACUCAAGAACAAACCUUAGGGAUUUCAAUUCAAGAUUCAAAUCCCAAUAAUUGCACUAUCAAUCUUCAAGAGUUCAAGAACUAAGGUAUGUGAAAUGUUCAUCCAAGGAUUUCUUCCAUCCUUGGAGCUCAAGAAACUCUUUUAAACUUCAAGUAAUUUGAUUUCAUGACUUUUGUAAUUGGAUUUAAGUAUAUUCAUGAUUUUAAUGUUAAUUGGAUUUCGAAUUCAUGGUCUAUUACAAGUUUCAUGUGGAAUCUAUGAUCAUGUGUAUAGUAUCAUGUGAAUUCAUGUUUAAGCCCUUGAAUUUAUUGAUUUGGAAAUUGAUGUUAUGAUGUGUACAUGUUGUUUGUAUCAUGGGUAUAAAUUAUGUCCCACAAUGUGUUUGACAAAAUGCUUAUGUGAAUUGACUAAUGAAAGCAAUACCUGUAUUAUGUGAUUCUAUUCAUGCGUGAGUUCAUGUACAUCAAACACUUGACAAAAUGUCUAAUUAAAUGCAUUGUUAGCAAGCAAGUAUUAUUAUGCCUCUAAUGUAAGACCAUGUUUACUUUUUAUGCUAUCGAUUCCUAGAGGUAUUUCAUACUUGAAAACCCAGCUAUUGACCUAGAGCUAUAGUAGUUAUAGAACAGUCUCAGUAAUAUCACAAAUAGUUGUACUCAAUAAUCAGGAAUAACCUCAAUUCAGACCUCAGUAAACUCAUUCAGUUAACAGAACUCAGUAGUAUUCCGUCAUUCAACAGAACCCAGUGAACUCAGUUCGGUUAGAUAGUACGAUCAGUUUCAGCUAAAUCAAGUCAAGUGAAGUCUAAGAAUUAGUUCAAUGUCUAUUCGGUUGGGAGUAGGGUUCAGCAUCGAACGAGAGCAGGGAUGACAUCUUUCCUGUCAGAUAGACAGAGUCAUUAGUGGCAAUCCCUGUACUCCAAAACUAUGUAGCCACUACAGGAUGAAGAGUCACCCAUCAUACUAGGCUUGAGUAGCUCCCAGGGGUCACCCGUUAGAUUAGGCUUGGCUCCUACCAGGUGUCACCCAUCAGUUGAGUUUGGCAUUCUGUUCUUUCUAGUGUUAGUACCCAUGACAUGGUAUUAUCACCCUUUUAAUUGGGGUCAUAGGUUGGACCCUAUCAGUUCAGAUUUGGGGCAUGUUGAUUAGAAGAAUACCUCCCACAGUUUUAAUUUUAGUCUCAGUAUAGAACUUAGUUCAGUUCUACAGAAUCAGGACUCUUAGAUAUUGUCACCCAACUCAGUAUAGAACUUAGAUUAGUU
rnacentral:lncRNA from 1 species